rnacentral:rRNA from 1 species
GGGGAAUAUUGGACAAUGGACCAAAAGUCUGAUCCAGCAAUUCUGUGUGCACGAUGACGUUUUUCGGAAUGUAAAGUGCUUUCAGUUGGGAAGAAAAAAAUGACGGUACCAACAGAAGAAGUGACGGCUAAAUACGUGCCAGCAGCCGCGGUAAUACGUAUGUCACAAGCGUUAUCCGGAUUUAUUGGGCGUAAAGCGCGUCUAGGUGGUUAUGUAAGUCUGAUGUGAAAAUGCAGAGCUCAACUCUGUAUUGCGUUGGAAACUGCAUGACUAGAGUACUGGAGAGGUAAGCGGAACUACAAGUGUAGAGGUGAAAUUCGUAGAUAUUUGUAGGAAUGCCGAUGGGGAAGCCAGCUUACUGGACAGAUACUGACGCUAAAGCGCGAAAGCGUGGGUAGCAAACAGGAUUAGAUACCCUGGUAGUCCACGCCGUAAACGAUGAUUACUAGGUGUUGGGGGUCGAACCUCAGCGCCCAAGCUAACGCGAUAAGUAAUCCGCCUGGGGAGUACGUACGCAAGUAUG